AGGUCAUAAACAAACUAGCCCUUCUUUUCAAAUAGUAUCUGUUUUCUUCUUCUUCUUCUUCUUCUUAAAAAAACUGCUUUCGGUCAUAAUUAUCUCUACCAAUAAAAUGGGCCACUUUGGAAACAUGUUCAUUCAAGAUUUUACCGAACCCUUUUAAUCUUCAAAUUCUAGAACAAAAUAUUUGUGUUCAUAUUGUUUCCUUGUUUGCAGGCACAAUUACAUAAAGGCCCUGUUUGGAUGCGCAGGGUUUACUGAUUUUCUUGAAGUCGCGUUGACAGAAGAUAGAGAGCACAACUAAGUAUGCACAAUGUGUAUCAUUAAUGAAGAAUUGUGAUUUAAAUAAUCUUUGUGUAUGAUUAGAUUUGUGCUCUCUCAUCUUCUGUCAGCCAAUUUUUGUCAUUUUCUUUCCUGAUCUAUGUCUAUCUGCGACGGAUCAUGAUGUCACUAAUCAAGCGGCCGUGGUGCUCCAGCAAUCGCUGGAAUCGUUGCAACGGGCGCUGGGGUCCAGCGGCCGCUGGCUUCUUGGCCGCGGACGCUGGCACCCAGCGAGCGCGGGGUUUUAUCGGAUUUGUGAAUUCUCGUGGUCCGAGCUCAGAUUUGUUCAUGUGUAUUUUUUGAAUGAAAUUCAUGGAAAUCAGUCCAAUGAUAAAUUCCGUAGAUUUUUAAAUACACCUAGAUUUUCAUGGACUUUUAAAAGUCUUGAACGAAUACAACCAGAUUUAUAUAGACUUUUAAAAGUCUUGAACGAAU